GACAGAGGGUGCUAGCGUUGUUCGGAAUGACUGGGCGUAAAGGGCGCGUAGGCGGCUUUUUAAGUCAGGCGUGAAAUCCCCGGGCUCAACCUGGGAACUGCGUUUGAUACUGGAAGGCUUGAGUGCGGAAGAGGAGAGUGGAAUUCCUAGUGUAGAAGUGAAAUUCGUAGAUAUUAGGAGGAACACCAGAGGCGAAGGCGACUCUCUGGUCCGCAACUGACGCUGAGGCGCGAAAGCGUGGGGAGCAAACAGG
rnacentral:rRNA from 1 species